UGGGGAAUAUUGCACAAUGGGCGCAAGCCUGAUGCAGCGACACCGCGUGUGCGAUGAAGGCCUUCGGGUUGUAAAGCACUUUUUGGAAGGAAUAGGAAGGAAGGUACUUCCAGAAUAAGUCUCGGCUAACUACGUGCCAGCAGCCGCGGUAACACGUAGGAGGCAAACGUUAUCCGGAUUUACUGGGCGUAAGCGCGUGUAGGUGGUUCUGUAAGUAGGGCGUGAAAGCUCCCGGCUCAACUGGGAGAGGCCGUUCUAAACUGCAGAGCUAGAGGAUGGUAGAGGGAGGUGGAAUUCCAGGUGUAGCGGUGGAAUGCGCAGAUAUCUGGAGGAACACCAGUGGCGAAAGCGGCCUCCUGGACCAUUCCUGACACUCAGACGCGAAAGCUAGGGUAGCAAACGGG
rnacentral:rRNA from 2 species